rnacentral:rRNA from 1 species
UCAGCGACUUAUAUUCUGUAGCAAGGUUAACCGUAUAGGGGAGCCGGAGGGAAACCGAGUCUUAAUUGGGCGUUAAGUUGCAGGGUAUAGACCCGAAACCCGGUGAUCUAGCCAUGGGCAGGUUGAAGGUUGGGUAACACUAACUGGAGGACCGAACCGACUAAUGUUGAAAAAUUAGCGGAUGACCUGUGGCUGGGGGUGAAAGGCCAAUCAAACCGGGAGAUAGCUGGUUCUCCCCGAAAGCUAUUUAGGUAGCGCCUCGUGAAUUCAUCUCCGGGGGUAGAGCACUGUUUCGGCUAGGGGGCCAUCCCGGCUUACCAACCCGAUGCAAACUGCGAAUACCGGAGAAUGUUAUCACGGGAGACACACGGCGGGUGCUAACGUCCGUCGUGAAGAGGGAAACAACCCAGACCGCCAGCUAAGGUCCCAAAGUCAUGGUUAAGUGGGAAACGAUGUGGGAAGGCCCAGACAGCCAGGAUGUUGGCUUAGAAGCAGCCAUCAUUUAAAGAAAGCGUAAUAGCUCACUGGUCGAGUCGGCCUGCGCGGAAGAUGUAACGGGGCUAAACCAUGCACCGAAGCUGCGGCAGCGANNUGCUGGAGGUAUCAGAAGUGCGAAUGCUGACAUAAGUAACGAUAAAGCGGGUGAAAAGCCCGCUCGCCGGAAGACCAAGGGUUCCUGUCCAACGUUAAUCGGGGCAGGGUGAGUCGACCCCUAAGGCGAGGCCGAAAGGCGUAGUCGAUGGGAAACGGGUUAAUAUUCCCGUACUUGGUGUUACUGCGAAGGGGGGACGGAGAAGGCUAUGUUGGCCGGGCGACGGUUGUCCCGGUUUAAGCGUGUAGGUGUGUGUUCCAGGUAAAUCCGGUUCACUUUAACACUGAGGCGUGACGACGAGGCACUACGGUGCUGAAGCAACAAAUGCCCUGCUUCCAGGAAAAGCCUCUAAGCAUCAGGUAACAUCAAAUCGUACCCCAAACCGACACAGGUGGUCAGGUAGAGAAUACCAAGGCGCUUGAGAGAACUCGGGUGAAGGAACUAGGCAAAAUGGUGCCGUAACUUCGGGAGAAGGCACGCUGACACGUAGGUGAAGUGAUUUACUCAUGGAGCUGAAGUCAGUCGAAGAUACCAGCUGGCUGCAACUGUUUAUUAAAAACACAGCACUGUGCAAACACGAAAGUGGACGUAUACGGUGUGACGCCUGCCCGGUGCCGGAAGGUUAAUUGAUGGGGUCAGCGCAAGCGAAGCUCCUGAUCGAAGCCCCGGUAAACGGCGGCCGUAACUAUAACGGUCCUAAGGUAGCGAAAUUCCUUGUCGGGUAAGUUCCGACCUGCACGAAUGGCGUAAUGAUGGCCAGGCUGUCUCCACCCGAGACUCAGUGAAAUUGAACUCGCUGUGAAGAUGCAGUGUACCCGCGGCAAGACGGAAAGACCCCGUGAACCUUUACUAUAGCUUGACACUGAACAUUGAGCCUUGAUGUGUAGGAUAGGUGGGAGGCUUUGAAGUGUGGACGCCAGUCUGCAUGGAGCCGACCUUGAAAUACCACCCUUUAAUGUUUGAUGUUCUAACGUGGACCCGUAAUCCGGGUUGCGGACAGUGUCUGGUGGGUAGUUUGACUGGGGCGGUCUCCUCCUAAAGAGUAACGGAGGAGCACGAAGGUUGGCUAAUCCUGGUCGGACAUCAGGAGGUUAGUGCAAUGGCAUAAGCCAGCUUGACUGCGAGCGUGACGGCGCGAGCAGGUGCGAAAGCAGGUCAUAGUGAUCCGGUGGUUCUGAAUGGAAGGGCCAUCGCUCAACGGAUAAAAGGUACUCCGGGGAUAACAGGCUGAUACCGCCCAAGAGUUCAUAUCGACGGCGGUGUUUGGCACCUCGAUGUCGGCUCAUCACAUCCUGGGGCUGAAGUAGGUCCCAAGGGUAUGGCUGUUCGCCAUUUAAAGUGGUACGCGAGCUGGGUUUAGAACGUCGUGAGACAGUUCGGUCCCUAUCUGCCGUGGGCGCUGGAGAACUGAGGGGGGCUGCUCCUAGUACGAGAGGACCGGAGUGGACGCAUCACUGGUGUUCGGGUUGUCAUGCCAAUGGCACUGCCCGGUAGCUAAAUGCGGAAGAGAUAAGUGCUGAAAGCAUCUAAGCACGAAACUUGCCCCGAGAUGAGUUCUCCCUGAGACUUAGAGUCUCCUGAAGGAACGUUGAAGACGACGACGUUGAUAGGCCGGGUGUGUAAGCGCAGCGAUGCGUUGAGCUAACCGGUACUAAUGAACCGUGAGGCUUAACCUUACAACGCCGAAG